rnacentral:lncRNA from 1 species
UCUUUUCUUAAAAUGGGCGUUGAAGUUUCAACAACGAGACACUUGUGAAAACAACUAAGAUAGAAGUGUGAUGUUGUUAACUUACCCGUGGGACGUGAUCUAAAAGUCCUCGUUCGUGACAUGAUCAAAUGUGGAAAUAAAAUAGAAAUUAAAAUUGAGACUCCACAUGAGGUGAUGGAGGAGAAUUUUCAGUCUAGGCGUCUUGCCUUAGGUUAGAGCGGAAGAAUGUAAAGGAAAGAAGGUCCAAACAAACUGAAUAACCACAGUUUCUUUUUAAUGACCUUUGGAGGAUGAUGGCAUUAUGAGAAAGUUGCUUCUAGAUCUUUAUACAAGUUCAGGCAAUCAGAAACCCAACAAGAUUAUUAUCUUGGUGUAUUUAUACUACAUCGUGUUACGUGUUUCACUUCUUAUCAAAUAAUUCUAUCAUUAUUCUUCCACCGUUAAUAUUGAUCCUUUUGAGAUUGGAAAUUUCAACUAGUUUUGAUUUCUUGGUAGUAUCUAUUAGAAUAUCAUCUAUUAGAAUUCCUGCGAAAUUAUUUUUGGCAAAACUCUAGAACUAUCUUGCGCAACAAUGGUUCUAAAGUGGUAGCAAUCGACGGAAGAACAUUUUGGGGAAAUUGUUUUUGAUCCAUGGUAGUUUUAAUAAUUCGUGAUGUUACUUCUCGAUUAUCAAGAAAUCUUGUUAGUUCAUUCUUGAAUUCGACCUUUCUACUUCUUGGUCUGAGGCAAUAACGGAAUUGUUUAGUAUUCCGGCAUAAUUCAUCAUAUUUUUAUAUUAUUCUAUUUUGGAAUUAUUCGACCCUUUGAUAUUUUAGUCUGCGUUAGUUAUGGUUGUACUCUCAGUCUUACCUCAUUCUAUUAAAGGUAAUUGGGUUGACUUUGAGUCACUAGUAUAUUCCUCAUGUUAUUUAGGAGGUUGGUA